rnacentral:rRNA from 1 species
UACGUAGGAGGCAAGCGUUGUCCGGAAUUACUGGGCGUAAAGCGCGUGUAGGUGGUGGGACAAGUCUGCUGUGAAAGCGCCUGGCUUAACCGGGCGAGGUCGGCGGAAACUGUCCGACUCGAGGACGGUAGAGGGGGUGGAAUUCCCGGUGUAGUGGUGAAAUGCGUAGAGAUCGGGAGGAACACCGGUGGCGAAGGCGGCCUUCUGGACAGUGACUGACGCUGAGACGCGAAAGCGUGGGGAGCAAACAGG